rnacentral:rRNA from 1 species
UACAGAGGGUGCGAGCGUUAAUCGGAAUUACUGGGCGUAAAGCGUGCGUAGACGGUAGCGUAAGUCAGAUGUGAAAGCCCCGGGCUCAACCUGGGAAUUGCAUUUGAGACUGCUCUGCUCGGGUGCGGAAGAGGGAAGCGGAAUUUCCGGUGUAGCGGUGAAAUGCGUAGACAUCGGAAGGAACACCAGUGGCGAGAGCGGCUUCCUGGUCCGACACCGACGUUCAGGCACGAAAGCGUGGGGAGCAAAAGGG